UAUAGAUACAGAAAUUUAGCUUCCAUUUAGUUCACUUUCAGUAACUUGUAACUGCAUCAAGAACAGCAACACCACAUCUAACACCUGCCAGAUUGGUGAGCAAAGAACUCCACCGCUCUGUGUAAAAUCUGCUUUGGUAAGGACAUCAUAGCUGGUAGUAAUGAGCAUGUGAUUCCUGACACUUCCACAAGCAUGACCAAUUCACCUGAAUUUUCCUUGCACCACUACAACUUUUCUGGGACACAAAUGCACGGGAGCCAAAUAACAACAGUCUUUUAAGGACAGUAAGGCAAAAUACAGGAACUGGGACAUUUCUAACAGGUUCUCUACCAGCUUCUGGUACCAGACCCUCAUGUGGAGUGAAGCUACAAAGCCUAUGGAAAUACAUGAGGUGAUUUUAUUCUGCUUAGAAAAAAAGGCAAAGUGAAAGGCAUCUCCUCCCUACCCAAAGGAGCAAGUCAGGGAGUGAAGCCUGUGGGUGAAGAUCAAGACUGAGGGAAAAAGGGAGGUCCCUAGAUGAAUCAUGAGAAUCCCUUUUAAAACACACUCAGCUAUGGACAAGAGAAAACUGCAGCAGCUCCAACUUCCACCCAUUGCCUCUCAAAGCCCAGUGGCACUUCCUGAGAGCUUGGGGCCUUCACUUCCGGAGAACAAACCAGAACUGUUUCCACUGUGAACUUUUCUACUUUAAGAUUAGAAUGAAAAGUAGAUAACUGCAGAGUUGCCUUUUAACAUUAUCUAUGACCAUGUGCAGUGUCAUUAGUAGCCAAGGUUGCUAAUCUUAUGCAGUAAUUCUGUGCUUCCUUUGAAGAAACAACCUAGAGCAC
ensembl:lncRNA